AUUGAACGCUGGCGGCAUGCUUUACACAUGCAAGUCGAACGGUAACAGGGAGCUUGCUCCGCUGACGAGUGGCGAACGGGUGAGUAAUGCAUCGGAACGUACCCAGUCGUGGGGGAUAACGUAGCGAAAGUUACGCUAAUACCGCAUACGUCCUGAGGGAGAAAGCGGGGGGACCGUAAGGCCUCGCGCGAUUGGAGCGGCCGAUGUCGGAUUAGCUAGUUGGUGGGGUAAAGGCCUACCAAGGCGACGAUCCGUAGCGGGUCUGAGAGGAUGAUCCGCCACACUGGGACUGAGACACGGCCCAGACUCCUACGGGAGGCAGCAGUGGGGAAUUUUGGACAAUGGGGGCAACCCUGAUCCAGCCAUGCCGCGUGAGUGAAGAAGGCCUUCGGGUUGUAAAGCUCUUUCAGACGGAAAGAAAACGCAUCGGUGAAUACCCGGUGUGGAUGACGGUACCGUAAGAAGAAGCACCGGCUAACUACGUG
rnacentral:rRNA from 1 species